GAGUGAGGAGUAGGUGAAUGUUUGGUGUUCUGCGAAUGCCCAGCCUGACAUUGUGUUUGUGUUUUGUUAAACCUUUAUUUUGGCCCUUGUGCCUGUUCCUUUGUUCCUGUUUUUGUGUUAUUUUGUUUAUUAAGCACGAGAACAGCUGAGAGUAAGCCAAAUAGAAACCUGGUUGUCCUUGUCAGAGUCCAUCAGUGAUACCAGAGGAGAUUGGGAGAGAGAUCCAAUUCAUUACUCCUACCCUGCCUCCUGGCAGCCCAUUGUGAAGUUAAUCAGGAAACUCUCUAUAUUGAGGCUGCUCUGCAUGAAAUAAUCGCCCGCGGAUGCAGUAAAAAGGAUUUGUCAUUGUGGAAAACCAAAGACUAUUCAAUGGCUGACAGCAUGGCCUGCCCUUUCUACCUGCUAGAACAUGUGUGGAGUUUUUACAGUCCAAUAUAAGGAUGGUCGACUGUGGGAAUGAAUGAGAUUAAUUGGUCCUAGCAUGAGCUACUGUUUCCCUCAUUAUUUAUAACUGCUUGUUCUUCUGCCAUGCUGUGCGUAUAAUAACAGGUCCUAUGGAUUCUAUUUGGUGGCUUCUGUCUGUUUUCUCUCUCUGCCAAAUUACUUGUACAGGUCGUGCCCCUAAGCUCAUUACACUGUCAGCUGGCCAUUAGUAGCAGGCAAGCAAAACUUUUCAAGUGUUGUCACCACUUCAUUUAACUCAGUUACAUAUCCCUCUAGAUAUUGCAGGAAGAAUAUUAGGGAGCACUUCGCCUUGGGAAAGGAGUUUAGAAAUGCAACACAAACCAGGUACAUACAUUGGAAUUCUAAUGCUUAGUAAAUGUACUCCAGGUCAGCUACAGAUUAAAGUGUUUGUUACUGGCAGCCAUAAUCUCUUACCUCUAUCCCAAACAGUUUUGUCUGACAUUCUACUUAUAAACUAGGGAGAUUUUUAAACAAACAUUUGGUUGUUUAAGGGAAACUGCAGCUGCAGCAAAGCUUUCAGAGCCUCGAAGAUAAUGAAAUAAUUCCAUAAAUCAAUCCAGGGAUGGAAAUAAGGCUCCCAUUUCAUAGCUGUUUGAUCCAUUCCUGUUUUUACUAUGAGUGUAAUAAGACACACCUGAGCUUGUCACCUAUACACUGGGGCUAAUCAAGCUUGCAGUAAAACCUGGAGUGGUUGAAACUGCUAUGCAAUAGGAGUCCUAUUUCUAUCCCUGCUGUCAUGCACUUCAAUUUCUUACGUAGAUCUCACAUGGGCAGUAAUUGAAAAGCAAAUGCAUGUUAUAGCAAAUGUGUUAUUUUCAACUAGGUUAAAGAAAGUGUUAGUUAAAGGCGAGAAAAUAGAAGGAAGGUAAAAAGGUGUAAUUUCACCAGAAAUGUA